rnacentral:misc_RNA from 1 species
UCCGAGUUGACCCCGGCAGUCUCCUAUGAGUCCCCACCAUCACGUGCUGGCAACAUAGGACGAGGGUUGCGCUCGUUGCGGGACUUAACCCAACACCUCACGGCACGAGCUGACGACAACCAUGCACCACCUGUGCACGGCCCCGAAGGACACCGUAUCUCUACGGCUUUUCCGUGCAUUUCAAGCCCUGGUAAGGUUCUUCGCGUUGCGUCGAAUUAAGCCACAUGCUCCGCCGCUUGUGCGGGCCCCCGUCAAUUCCUUUGAGUUUUAGCCUUGCGGCCGUAAUCCCCAGGCGGGGUGCUUAAUGCGUUAGCUGCGGCACGGAAGGAGUGGAUAACCCCCCGCACCUAGCACCCAUCGUUUACGGCGUGGACUAC